rnacentral:rRNA from 2 species
AGCAGCCGCGGUAAUUCCAGCUCCAAUAGCGUAUAUUAAAGUUGUUGCAGUUAAAAAGCUCGUAGUUGAAUUUCGGGAUUAAUAUGCUGGUCGUGCCAUUGGUACGUACUAGUAUUAUUGAUUUCUCCCUUCUGAUGAAUCAUGAUGUCAUUAAUUUGAUGUCAUGGGGAAUCAGGACUGUUACUUUGAAAAAUUAGAGUGUUUAAAGCAGGCUCGCGCUUGAAUACAUUAGCAUGGAAUAAUGAAAUAGGACGUUUGAUUCUAUUUUGUUGGUUUCUAGGAUUGACGUAAUGAUUAAUAGGGAUAGUUGGGGGCAUUAGUAUUCAAUUGUCAGAGGUGAAAUUCUUGGAUUUAUUGAAGACUAACUACUGCGAAAGCAUUUGCCAAGGAUGUUUUCAUUAAUCAAGAACGAAAGUUAGGGGAUCGAAGACGAUCAGAUACCGUCGUAGU